CCUCAGGAAAGUCCAGUCUCCAUGGCCCGUCACCACAGGAUCUCAAAGGAGGAAGCUCCUUCUGAAGCUGAGCCAGAAGGACGCCCUGCAAGCGCUCUUUCAAGCGAAACCCUACCCUCGGAUCGCGACCAGAGAACGGCUGCCCUGGGAGCUUUGCAUUGCCCAAAGCAGAGUUCAGGUAGGCCCCCGUCUCUGCCCCUGUUCUCCCUUUCAGGCUCUCCAUGCUGAUCCGAGUCAGCUGAAAGCACCUGGCAGCCUUUCUCCUGAGAAGGAAUUCUCUCUGUUUGCCCCUAAGUCUGGUUUCAAAAUCAACGCAGAAGACAGUUAAAGCAGAGCCGAUCGCCGUCUGAAUAUGUGCACCAAGAAGGGGAAGCGGGGCCAACGUCCACGCCCAUGCCACUGACACCCUCUCCUUGACCUCAGUCUUCCUCUCCAGGAGACUCGGCCAGAGAGGCCCGGAGAAAGAGGGCAGUAAUCUCUCUUUCUCAAACAAGGAUCCAUGUGCAAGCCUUCACAGGAGAUCUCUUCCUGGGGAUUGCCGCCAGGGAAGAACUGGCUCUUCAGAUGGGAAUCCCAGAACCUCGAAUCCAGAUAUGGUUUCAAAACCGAAGAGCUCAGCACCACCAGCAGGGCCCGAGCGGGCCUGGCAUGGCCAGGCCCAAGGGCCAGGCAGUGCAGCAGCCAUGACUACUCCUGCUCCAGAGGACCGAAGGGCCCACCCGCUGUCCAGAGCAUCUCUCCUCCCCUUCGCCCCUCCCCCGCCACAGGAGAGCAUACCACCCUUGGCGGCCGAAGCUGCUCCUUUUGGGGCCCCCACAUUCUGUGUGCACGGGACUGCCUCUGGGGUCUCUGUGGGCCAUCCGUUGAUGAUCUUCAUAGUCCAGCCCAGCCCAGUGGCUCUCCCGCCAUGCGGGAAGCCACCACCUCUUGCCCAGGUAGGAAAAGAGAAGUGUCUCUCAUCGUCCAUCCCCCAUGUUGCUUCGUUGGAUUAGUGGAACCUACUUCCCAACAGUAGGGGGUACACUGUCCCCUUUGGCAGGUAUCUCCAGGACACUUGGGCUGGGGGGUUGCCUGGGGAGGUGCGAGCCUCAGGCUCCACACUAGAAAAGUCCCAAAUGGCAUGAGCUGCCGGUCCAGAUGUUGGCCCUUCAGUUCUCUGGUCUGAGCCUUGGGCUCCAGGUAACUCAAAGCCCUCGGGGGUGGUGCUCUGGGAUUUCUGCAGUGAAAGGACACCAAGAGAGCAUAGAGGAGUUGGGGAGGGGCGGUGGGAAAUGGAGGUGAGGACAGGGAGGGAUCUAGGUGGAGGCACUGGAGAGAGUUUCCAGUGUCCAGGAAUGCCUUGGAGGAGCCAGCAGGGGGCAAUCGAGACCCAGGGACCUGUGGAAUGUGAAAAGUUGGGAAACCCCAGAGUGGUUUGGAAGGCAAGGCAGGCUGGGAAAGGGGGCGUGGGCGGCCACUUCAAAGGGACCUAGGGGCGUUCCCGGGCAGUUAGCUCUCUUGGCACUGCUGAGGGCCCCUGAUUGAUCCACCCGGGGUUGAUCCCACCCCCCCCCCCGCUGCGUGGGAGGGCCACAAACCAAAGCCCCCGAACUGCCUGUCCACCCCGAUGGGGACUUUGGCGGUCUGGGGCAUGGAAGCCCACUCGCUCCACGGGACUCUGUCCAGGGUGUCUGCCUGCAACGAGGCCAGGGGCAUCCCCUCCGUCUGUGCACCCAAACCCUGUUUACUUAAAUAGGGGCGGAGCCGCCUCCCACUCUCCAAAGUCCUGAGCUGCUGGGUCCCCGCCCACUAGGCCAGCAGUCUGCAGCGUCCAUGUGGCUCUCCCACCAUGGCUUCGUGCAGCUCCUCCAGCACCUCAAGCGAUAUGUUUGUGCUCGGUCCCUGGGAUCGGAUCACAUCUCUGGGGAUUUGCAGAUGACACGGCCCAGGGUGCUCAGAAAACGUGUCCACCCACCACCAAGAAUGGCGGGAACAGAUCGGCCGGGCCCAUGGUUCCCAGGCGUCAGCUGUGCCCAAAAGAGGCAUCGUUCGUUCAUCUUGCUCCUUUGGCACACAUAUGGCUUCUCCGUUCUCUUUUCUGGGAAGAUGGUGUUGUGUCAGGGGGCGGGGUGCGGGGUGCGGGGGGCUGGGGUUGGGGGUCGGGCGGGGUUGCUGUGCUGGGAUGAGGCCCUUUAUCCUCACAUCUUCCUUUGGGAGUGGGAGUCGGGGAGCGCUGUGGCUUUGCUGCCUUCAGUGGCUUCCUCUCCCCAGGGGCCUAGUGCCUUCUGCCUUCAGUCAGGCGUUGCGGGUUUAGGCUUCACUUCGGCUUCCUUCCCUUUCCUUUCCUUUUCCACUAGUGACGUCAAACAUGGCCCUGGCUCAUGUCAGCCCCAGGAAGCCAGGCUCCCUCCCACUGGCAUCAUCAUGGAGGGAAAUCUGGGAGCAGCCACAUUAAGACAUCUCCCUGGCAUUUCCCUCAGACGGGUGGAAACAUGUGGCGGGAUAGUGUGGUGGUCUUUGGCCCUGUCGCCACAGGAUCUCCAAGGAGGAGGCUCAUUCUGAAGCUCAGCCAGAAGGACACCCUGCAAGCGAUGUUUCAACAGAACCCCUCCUCUGGGAUAGCGAGCAGAGAAUGCCUGGCCUGAGACCUUGGCAUUGCCAAAAGCAGAGUUCAGGUCUGGUUCCAAAACCAGCGUAGAAGACAGUUAAAGCAGAGCCAAUCGCCGUCUGAAUAUGUGAACCAAGAAGGGGAAGGGGGCCAACGUCCACAACCACGCCACCGACGGCCCCUCCUCGACCUCGGUCUUCCUCUCCAGGAAACUCAGCAAGAGAGGCCUGGAGAAAGUGGACAGUCAUUCUCUCCUUCUCAAACAAGGUACCUUGUGCAAACCUUCACGAGGGAUCUCUUCCAGGGGAUUACCAACCGGAAAGAACUGGCUCGUCAUAUGGGAAUCCCAGAAACUCGAAUCCAGAUAUGGUUUCAAAACUGAAGAGCUUGGAACCCACAGCAGAGACAAAGCGGGCCCGGCAAUGGCUGGGCCCAAGGGCCAAGCAGCACAGCAGCCACGACUACUCCUGCUCCAGAGGACCGAAGGGCCCCACCCGCUGUUCAGAGCUCCUCUUCCCACUAUUAACCCUUCCCGCCAGAGGAGAGCAUUCCACAAUUGGAAGAGGCAAAAUUGAGACCCAGGGAUCCAGUGGUGAGGCGCAGUUGGCGAUGCCGCCCUGGACCUGCAGUGGCAGCAGUGGAGUGGAAGGCCCUGCCGGGGGAUCAAGCAGCUCGGGUCAGGCUCACUGCACUUCCCCUCCCGCCCUAAGCGAGAAGAAGUGAAAUGGGGUAAGGCCCCUGGCAGAGAUGGGAGCUGCACCCUGGUCUUUGGCACCAGGCUUCCUCAGCAUGAAGACUUUUGUCAAGCACCCAAACUGUCCAGGGAAAAAGAAAGGUGUGUGGUCAGCAGACGAGCUGCUGUGUCUGCCCCAAGGCGUUUUCUCCUCACAUCCCCACUCUGGAGAAGAAGACGCUUUUCUGCACGGGGCGAACCAGUCGGCUGAUCCUGGAGGACAGCGAGGCCAGGGGAAAGAAGCCAGUCCCUGGAGGACUGUGCCUCCGCUGGGGCUCGUUCCUCUGAUGUGUGCCUCCUCAUUCAGGCCGGGACGGGCCCUUUGCUGGGACGUGGGGCGGGGGAGUGGGGGCGGCCGGCGGGUGGCAGAAGGAUGAGGCCGAGCCUGGUGUCUCCUGGGGGCAUGGCCUUGAACUUGGCCUGGCGGUGCUUGGGGCUUCCUGAUAGCUCAGUUGGUAAAGGAUCCACCUGCAAUGCAGGAGACCACGGUUCGAUGCCUGCGUUGGGAAGAUCCGCUGCCCAAGGGAGUAAGCUACCAUCUGGCCUGCAGAACUCGUCCACGGGGUCGCAAAGCGUCGGACAGAACUGUGUGCGCGUGCAUGCAUGUGUCCCAGGGAAUCGCAAAGAAACCAAGGAACCACAGCGCCACCUACACAGCCAUCCGUAGCAAUGGAUUCUUUGGCCAGCCAGCUCUUGGUGGAUGCCUAGAUGUCUCCCGGUUGGUUGAGGGCCCCAGUGUCCCAGCGCCACCCACCAGCAGCACCGUGGUCAUUCUGCAGCGACCCAAGGGUCGGUGAGUGAAUGGGUGCCCCCGCUAGGCUGCACCCAUGCGCCCUCCUUCUCUUUCUGCUAAGACACAUGGUUCCUCUGAGCUCGACCAGGCUGGCUUGAGAUGCUGAGAGGCGACGGGAGGGAGGAAGGGCCGGACUGCCGGCUGAGGGCUUCAGCAGGGAGGGGGUGCUGGCAACAAAGAGCCCUCCUCUCCCUGCCCCCGCUGGAUGUGCUCGAGAAGCUAGGGGGCUGACGUGAGGCCAGCAGCGAUGUGGAGCCUGUGCGCCUGGCAAGCCCGCCCGGGGCUCCUUCUUCCUGGGGCCCGGGCGCGCCAGGACCCCUUGGUCUGGCAGAAUGGCGCAGGGCUGCUGACAUCUGGUGAGACAGGGUUCCCCUCCUGCACGCCAGGGCGAGACAGUAGCAAGCGGAAGGGCAAGGGUGUGAGCAGCCAGGCCGCGUCACCGGAGGGCCGCUGUGGCGGGGAGGUGUUCCACACUGACAGGCACCCUGGCGAGACCGGCAAGACCCAGGCUCCGGUGGGCCGGACCCUUGGCCAGGGCGUGGCAGGAAGAAACCUUCAGCGGGAGAGGCGGGCACACCCUGGCUACAUCCCAGUGGGAAGUUAAAUGAGCAUGGGAGCCCGGGACAAGAGGCCAGAGUCCUUGCUGGGGAAAGAGCAAAGGGAAGGGAGUCAAGCCAUGUCUGUGCCAGAACGGGCCUUUCCAGCCUGGACCCGGGCCACUGCGGCGGACGUGUGGGGGUGGUGGGAGACGAGCUGGGAGCCACGGGAGAGCCCCAGCCCGCUGCUGCAGGAGAGCCCAGAGGAGACUCCCCGCAAGAGGCGCGGGAGGUCUGCCAGGGCCCCGGCGGUGGGCUGGGCUCUGCCUCCAGCCGGCGCCUCGGAGGAGUGCAGGGGGCCCCAUGGGUCUCCCAGGUGCCUGCGCCCCAGCUCUGGGGAGACCCUGCCAAAGAGACGGAGAAGGUGUGCCAGAGGCCCAUCGGCAGCAGCGAGCGAGGCGGCAGCGGUGGCGGGCUGGGCCCCUCCUCCCACCGGCCCUUCGGAGAGGGGCGAGGAGACCAGGAGCUGGGGGCGUCGGGGGGGGACUCGCUAGGUUCAGGUCCCCAAUCCAGGGAACCUUCUCCCAAAGAGACG
ensembl:lncRNA